GAUGAACGCUGGCGGCGUGCCUAAUACAUGCAAGUCGAGCGAACAGAUGAGGAGCUUGCUCCUCUGACGUUAGCGGCGGACGGGUGCGUACCACGUGGAUAACCUACCUAUAAGACUGGGAUAACUUCUGGAAACCGGACCUAAUACCGGAUAAUAUAUUGAACCGCAUGGUUCAAUAGUGAAAGACUGUUUUGCUGUCACUUCUAGAUGGAUCCGCGCCGCAUUAGCUAGUUGGUAAGGUAACGGCUUACCAAGGCAACGAUGCGUAGCCGACCUGAGGGGGGGAUCGGCCACACUGGAACUGAGACACGGUCCAGACUCCUACGGGAGGCAGCAGUAGGGAAUCUUCCGCAAAGGGCGAAAGCCUGACGGAGCAACGCCGCGUGAGUGAUGAAGGUCUUCGGAUCGUAAAACUCUGUUAUUAGGGAAGAACAAAUGUGUAAGUAACUAUGCACGUAUUGACGGUACCUAAGCAGAAAGCCACGGCUAACUACGUG
rnacentral:rRNA from 1 species